AAUGAAGUUUCUCAGCAGACUAAACCAAUCUAAACCAGCUUUACCAUGAUCCUCCCUCCCUUUCUCUGGUGUUCUCCAUUCCUCUUAUGCUGGCACUGAUGAUUCCCAGUGACUCAAAGCUGGUUCAGAGGACUUAACAGAAAUCUAUUAGGGCUCUCCAUAGAGUUUCAGAGCUAGCACAAGAGAGGGGGUGGAGGAUCCAAAGCAAAAUAUUAAAUUGUGAUUAUGUCUGUGCUCAGACUGGCUUAAUUGGUCACAGAAUUGAAACUUGAGGGUAUGGCAAACACUAACAUGGGGGACACAAGCUGCCAGGGCAGAAAAGAAAACUGGAAACUUCUGAAGCUGGCUUUUACAGCAAUGCCAGCAUCCUGAGUAAUUUCAUCCACAGGGUUAAGAUCAGCACAGAUGGAGCCCAGAGUCACUCAUAACAUAUUGGGUCCACUCUAUCUCCCCAUGUUGUGUGCUGCAGUACAAAAAGCAGAGGACCAGCAGAUUUUCCACAGAGAUCUACUGUAUCCCAUUGUUGCACUAUGUGUGCAGUUAGCAGCAGCCUUGCACAAGGCAGCUGAAGGAUACUGACUCAACAAUUAGUUGGCUGCCUGGCUUCUCUUGAGUAAGCAACAGUGUCUAAAGAAAACACUUGGAAGAGCUCAGAAAGAUUACUGUGAAGGAAAGCAUCAUAUGCAAUAUGAUUCUUCUUACCCACUGCAAAAAAGCAAUGAACUCAAACCUUUAGAAAUGCAAGUCAUUUUUCUUUAGAAGGCUGCAGGAAAAGCAGUGUUUUUAGAGGAAAUGUGAAAAAGGAAGCUGGCAAAACUCAUAAUAUGCCCAAUUCUGUUAACACAUCAUAUAAGAAAUAUGAAGAGAAAUUGACUAUCUUACACAGCAAUCAGGUUAUAUUUUAUUAUGUCCUGUACAAAAUAUAGCUAACUGUACUCACUAAAAAAAGUAGUUUUGUUAUGAAAACUUUAUUAGUGCUUUGGCUUGUAUAGACUUCUGGCUGGAACAUCUACCUCAACCCACAGAAUAAUUGGGGUUGGAAGAGACCUCUGGAGAUCCUCCAGGCCAACCUCCUCCUAAUGCAUGUUCCCUAGAGUAGGUUGCAUAGGAAAACAUUGAGGUAGGUCUUGAGUAUCUGCAGAGUAGACUCCACAGACUCUCUAGGCAACUUACUCCAGUAAUCUGUCACUCUCAAAGUAAAAGACUUUUUCUCAUGUUCAUGGUUUGUUAUUUGUGUUUCAGUUUGUGCCCAUUGCUCCUUGUUCUCUUGUGGACCACCACUGAAAAGAAUCUGACCCCAUUUUCAUGGCUCCGGUCUCAUAGUUAUUUGUAGGCAUUGAUGAUAAGAAUCCUCUCCGCCUUCUCUUGUCCAGGCUGAAUAACCCCAGGGCUCUCCACCUUUCCUCAUAAGGGAGAUGCUCCAGGCUUAAAUCAAUCCACUGGACUCUAGAAGUUCCUCAUCUUGAACUGUGUAACACAGAACUGAACAUAAUGAUUGAGAUGUGGCCUCAUCAGGGCACAGUAGAUGGGGAGGAUAACCUCCGUU
rnacentral:lncRNA from 1 species